UUAGAGUUUGAUCCUGGCUCAGGAUGAACGCUAGCGGCAGGCCUAACACAUGCAAGUCGAACGGUAACAGGUGUAGCAAUACAUGCUGACGAGUGGCGCACGGGUGCGUAACACGUAUGUAACUUGCCUCUAUCUGGGAGAUAGCUUCGAGAAAUCGAAAUUAAUAUCCCAUAAUAAUUAGAUCAGGCAUCUGGUUUAAUUUAAAGUUCAGGCGGAUAGAGAUAGACAUGCGUCCUAUUAGCUUGUUGGUGAGGUAACGGCUCACCAAGGCUACGAUAGGUAGGGGGCCUGAGAGGGUUAUCCCCCACACUGGUACUGAGACACGGACCAGACUCCUACGGGAGGCAGCAGUGAGGAAUAUUGGUCAAUGGUCGCAAGACUGAACCAGCCAUGCCGCGUGCAGGAUGACGGCCCUAUGGGUUGUAAACUGCUUUUCUCGGGGAAUAAACCCCUUUACGUGUAAAGGGCUGAAGGACCAGAGGAAUAAGGACCGGC
rnacentral:rRNA from 1 species